UACAGAGGGGGCAAGCGUUAUUCGGAAUUAUUGGGCGUAAAGGGCGCGUAGGCGGCUUGGCAAGUGGAUGGUGAAAUCCCUCGGCUUAACCGAGGAACUGCCGUCCAAACUGCUUUGCUUGAGACCGGGAGAGGUGAGUGGAAUUCCCAGUGUAGCGGUGAAAUGCGUAGAUAUUGGGAGGAACACCAGUGGCGAAGGCGGCUCACUGGACCGGUACUGACGCUGAGGCGCGAAAGCGUGGGUAGCAAACAGG
rnacentral:rRNA from 1 species